CUGCUAUCGGAUUGAUACUAAGCCAUGCGAGUCAUUGUAGCAAUACGAGGCAUACGGCUCAGUAACGCGUAGUCAACCUAACCUAUGGACGGGAAUAACCUCGGGAAACUGAGAAUAAUGCCCGAUAGAACAUUAUGCCUGGAAUGGUUUAUGUUCCAAAUGAUUUAUCGCCGUAGGAUGGGACUGCGGCCUAUCAGUUUGUUGGUGAGGUAAUGGCCCACCAAGACUAUUACAGGUACGGGCUCUGAGAGGAGUAGCCCGGAGAUGGGUACUGAGACACGGACCCAGGCCCUAUGGGGCGCAGCAGGCGAGAAAACUUUGCAAUGUGCGAAAGCACGACAAGGUUAAUCCGAGUGGUUUCUGCUAAAGGAACCUUUUUGUCAGUCCUAGAAACACUGAUGAAUAAGGGGUGGGCAAGUUCUGGUGUCAGCCGCCGCGGUAAAACCAGCACCUCAAGUGGUCAGGAUGAUUAUUGGGCCUAAAGCAUCCGUAGCCGGCUCUGUAAGUUUUCGGUUAAAUCUGUACGCUCAACGUACAGGCUGCCGGGAAUACUGCAAAGCUAGGGAGUGGGAGAGGUAGACGGUACUCGGUAGGAAGGGGUAAAAUCCUUUGAUCUAUUGAUGACCACCUGUGGCGAAGGCGGUCUACCAGAACACGUCCGACGGUGAGGGAUGAAAGCUGGGGGAGCAAACCGGAUUAGAUACCCGGGUAGUCCCAGCUGUAAACCAUGCAAACUCAGUGAUGCAUUGGCUUGUGGCCAAUGCAGUGCUGCAGGGAAGCCGUUAAGUUUGCCGCCUGGGAAGUACGUACGCAAGUAUGAAACUUAAAGGAAUUGGCGGGGGAGCACCACAAGGGGUGAAGCCUGCGG
rnacentral:rRNA from 1 species